AGUGAACGCUGGCGGUAGGCCUAACACAUGCAAGUCGAACGGCAGCACAGUAAGAGCUUGCUCUUACGGGUGGCGAGUGGCGGACGGGUGAGGAAUACAUCGGAAUCUACUUUUUCGUGGGGGAUAACGUAGGGAAACUUACGCUAAUACCGCAUACGACCUACGGGUGAAAGCAGGGGUUCUUCGGACCUUGCGCGAUUGAAUGAGCCGAUGUCGGAUUAGCUAGUUGGCGGGGUAAAGGCCCACCAAGGCGACGAUCCGUAGCUGGUCUGAGAGGAUGAUCAGCCACACUGGAACUGAGACACGGUCCAGACUCCUACGGGAGGCAGCAGUGGGGAAUAUUGGACAAUGGGCGCAAGCCGGAUCCAGCCAUACCGCGUGGGUGAAGAAGGCCUUCGGGUUGUAAAGCCCUUUUGUUGGGAAAGAAAAGCAGCAGGUUAAUACCCCGCUGUUCUGACGGUACCCAAAGAAUAAGCACCGGCUAACUUCGUG
rnacentral:rRNA from 1 species